UGACUGCGUACCUUUUGUAUAAUGGGUCAGCGACUUAUAUUCUGUAGCAAGGUUAACCGAAUAGGGGAGCCGGAGGGAAACCGAGUCUUAACCGGGCGUUAAGUUGCAGGGUAUAGACCCGAAACCCGGUGAUCUAGCCAUGGGCAGGUUGAAGGUUGGGUAACACUAACUGGAGGACCGAACCGACUAAUGUUGAAAAAUUAGCGGAUGACCUGUGGCUGGGGGUGAAAGGCCAAUCAAACCGGGAGAUAGCUGGUUCUCCCCGAAAGCUAUUUAGGUAGCGCCUCGUGAAUUCAUCUCCGGGGGUAGAGCACUGUUUCGGCUAGGGGGCCAUCCCGGCUUACCAACCCGAUGCAAACUGCGAAUACCGGAGAAUGUUAUCACGGGAGACACACGGCGGGUGCUAACGUCCGUCGUGAAGAGGGAAACAACCCAGACCGCCAGCUAAGGUCCCAAAGUCAUGGUUAAGUGGGAAACGAUGUGGGAAGGCCCAGACAGCCAGGAUGUUGGCUUAGAAGCAGCCAUCAUUUAAAGAAAGCGUAAUAGCUCACUGGUCGAGUCGGCCUGCGCGGAAGAUGUAACGGGGCUAAACCAUGCACCGAAGCUGCGGCAGCGACACUCAGGUGUUGUUGGGUAGGGGAGCGUUCUGUAAGCCUGUGAAGGUGGCCUGUGAGGGUUGCUGGAGGUAUCAGAAGUGCGAAUGCUGACAUAAGUAACGAUAA
rnacentral:rRNA from 1 species